rnacentral:rRNA from 1 species
GACGAACGCUGGCGGCGUGCUUAACACAUGCAAGUCGAACGAUGAACUUGGAGCUUGCUCUGGGGGAUUAGUGGCGAACGGGUGAGUAACACGUGAGUAACCUGCCCUGGACUCUGGGAUAACUUCGAGAAAUCGGAGCUAAUACCGGAUAGGACCUUGAACCGCAUGGUGUGGGGUGGAAAGUUUUUCGGCUUGGGAUGGACUCGCGGCCUAUCAGCUUGUUGGUGAGGUAAUGGCUCACCAAGGCGUCGACGGGUAGCCGGCCUGAGAGGGUGACCGGCCACACUGGGACUGAGACGCGGCCCAGACUCCUACGGGAGGCAGCAGUGAGGAAUAUUGCACAAUGGGCGCAAGCCUGAUGCAGCAACGCCGCGUGCGGGAUGACGGCCUUCGGGUUGUAAACCGCUUUUAGUAGGGAAGAAGCCUUCGGGUGACGGUACCUGCAGAAAAAGGACCGGCUAACUACGUGCCAGCCGCCGCCGUAAAAC